AUGUGGUACACAAAAGAUGACAGAAAAAGCAACCCAGCCGCUCCCUUCAUCAGACAGCAGUGGUGGCAGAGUCACUCACAGCAGCAGGUGAACUUGAACUUGACUACAGACUCCCUGAGGAGAGAAGUUGUCGUCCUUUUCUUCAACUUCUGGGCAGUCAAAUGGACGGUUGGGUCCUCUUCCCAGGCAAAAGUGGAGUUCAUUUUCAGCAUCACUGGGAAGGACCAGUCACCCAAGUGGAGGCCACCUACUCUGCUGGGAUGUGGACUCUCUCCCUCUCCUCGUGUGGAGCCCACCUACUCUGCUGGGAUGUGGACUCUCUCCCUCUCCUCGUGUGGAGCCCACCUACUCUGCUGGGAUGUGGACUCUCUCUCCCUCUCCUCGCGUGAACCCUUUUCUUUUCAUGGCUGCAGCCUGCGGGGUUAACAGACUGCCUAAUCCAUUAUCGCUACAGGC